UACGUAGGGGGCAAGCGUUGUCCGGAAUCAUUGGGCGUAAAGGGCGUGUAGGCGGUUUGUUAAGUCUGGCGUGAAAGCUCUCGGCUAAACCGGGAGAGGUCGUUGGAUACUGGCAAACUAGAGGAUGGUAGAGGCGUGUGGAAUUCCGGGUGUAGUGGUGAAAUGCGCAGAUAUCAGGAAGAACACCAAUGGCGAAAGCAGCUCCUCUGGGACGGUACUGACGCUGAGACGCGAAAGCGUGGGGAGCGAACAGG
rnacentral:rRNA from 1 species